rnacentral:rRNA from 1 species
GACGAACGCUGGCGGCGUGCUUAACACAUGCAAGUCGAACGGUGAAGGACGGAGCUUGCUCGCUGCGGGUCAGUGGCGCACGGGUGAGUAACACGUGAGCAAUAUCCUCCGCACUCUGGGAUCAGCGCUGGAAAAGAGGUCUCAUACCGGAUAAGACGCGGGAGGGCAUCCUCUCCGGGUGGAAAGAACUUGGGGUCGGGAUGAGCGCGCGGCCUAUGCGCUUGUUGGUGGGGUAGCGGCUCACCAAGGCGCCGACGGGUAGCCGGCCUGAGAGGGUGACCGGCCCCACUGGGACUGCGACACGGCCCAGACUCCUACGGGAGGCAGCAGUGGGGAAUAUUGCACAAUGGGCGCAAGCCGGAUGCAGCAACGCCGCGUGGGGGACGACGGCCUUCGGGUUGUAAACCUCUUUUGGCUGGGAAGAAGCGAAAGUGACGGUACCUGCAGAAAAAGCACCGGCUAACUACGUG